UCUCGUCGGAGCCUAUGAAGAUUUUGUUGUCAACUUUUAGCCCGCAAUCAGGCAUCGCCGCCAUGUUGGCAGCAAGAUAACUCCAGCAAGUUCGUAGUAGAAAAUAUAGUAAUGAGAAACAGUUCGGCGCGUCCUCGAUAAUUAUAUGGCUAUUCCAUUUUUGUUUUGUGUAUGCCAUCACAAGUAAUGUCAAAGAAGGUAAUUUUGACAACUUAGGUCGAAUCGCAUCGUUAGAAUACACGUUUUAGAGUCAAAAUUUGUUAUUGUGGUCUGAUGCUUUUGCCAACUUGCCAACAUUCAAUCAUGGUUAUGCUUGUAUUGCGAGUUACAAUGAAAAGGAUCAUCAACUUUGUCUAUGGAAUUUUCCUUGUAGUAAGUUUGUAGAAUGUUACAAAUGCUUGACUUUAAUGUACUUUCGCGAUCUUUUAUUAGAAGAGGAAAACUCGCGAUUUGCAAAUUUGAUGCCGUAAUAAAUUCGCAUUCUUAAAAAAAGUUUGACCAAAUAUUGCAGUGGAAACUGUGAACAUGUACGGAAUGGCACUGGUAUCAUGUUAAGACUCUUCAAGAUGCUCUUUCCAACAUUCAGAUUUUUGGUUGUGACUGAGAAGCAAUCCACGAAGGUGUCUUCAAGUUGCAUAAUGUAAUUUAAAUAGCACGAUGAAUGAGCAGUCAGCCCACCAAAGUUGAGUUCUUUAUAUGCCUUGAAAUAGCAAAGCAAAUUACCAUUAUUGUUGAUGUUAUUUGAAGUCAAAACGUUCUUACAUUGGAGACAGCUGUGGAUUUUGAAAGCUUUGCUUAGCAAAUAUCCUGAAACAUAGGCAGCAGCAUUUUUGAGCAAUAAAUUGUUGCCAAUAUUUUGUUCUCGGUAGUCAUUUUCACCAAUCAACAGUGAGUUACUUGGAGCUUUUGCAUGGGUAAGUGGCAUACUAAAUGGUUUGGGCUUUUUUUUUGAAAAUUGUGUUAGCAGAGUGUCCAUAUCUUUAGAACAGUUUCCUUUGGAAGAGGUCAAAAGUGAACUAAAAAAAACCUUUCGAAAAGCUCUGAUAAAUUGUAUUGGCGUAGGAUUGUCAGAAUUACCUCCUUGCUGGCGUAUUGUUCCAAAAAAAUUCUCUAGAGCAUCUGUGUUUAAUCUUCUGUGUGGAACUAUUGACGCAAUCGAAAAGCGAAUCAAAUUUGAAAAGCAACUCAGCUGUACCCAAGGCUGAUGGUGGUUGUGCUCCAAUUGAUGAAUAUGUGCAAAUCGAUGUAGCAGCGGUGUGGCUGAAUAUUUGUGCAGCAUAUUUAACUUGAAAAUUAAUCUGAAAAUUAAUGCAGCGACAGCGAUGUAACGAACAUAACAAUAUAUAUAUAUAUUAAUAGAAGCAAGAGGACAAUUUUAUUUCCUUACAACGGAAUCAAUACUUUAAAUUAUCUAAAACAUGACAAAUAUAAGGAACAUAUAGUUAAGAGCAUCUGGAAGUUAGCUACAAUCAUACAAUAUAAGAAUUUUCCCAACACAAUAUGGCAUUGGCAUUAAAUACAAUUGCACAAGUUUGCAAUUUCUCAAUGAA